ACUCAUACUUUGCAGGGAAAAUACCAUGUCAUAAAAGUGGUUUUUCCAUGGGGGAGGCUUAUCCAUUGCACUUUAGGUGUGCUGCUGAUCCCUAUGGUUUCCCCAAACAUGGGGAACUGAACUGCUUAAUUUGUGUUAAUGGAGGUUUCCCCUUGU
rnacentral:snRNA from 1 species